GUGUUCGUAGUGUAAUGGUUUGCACGUAACACUGUGAAUGUUAAGGUGGUGGGUUCGACUCCCCUCGAACACC
rnacentral:tRNA from 3 species